CUACGGGAGGCAGCAGUAAGGAAUAUUGGACAAUGGGCGCAAGCCUGAUCCAGCCAUGCCGCGUGAUAGAUGAAGGCCCUCUGGGUUGUAAAUAUCUUUUAUCUGGGAAGAAACUCCUCUAUUCUUAGAGGCCUGACGGUACCAGAGGAAUAAGCACCGGCUAACUCCGUGCCAGCAGCCGCGGUAAUACGGAGGGUGCAAGCGUUAUCCGGAUUCACUGGGUUUAAAGGGUGCGUAGGUGGGUUGGUAAGUCAGUGGUGAAAUCCCCGAGCUUAACUCGGGAACUGCCGUUGAUACUAUCAAUCUUGAAUUCUGUGGAGGUAAGCGGAAUAUAUCAUGUAGCGGUGAAAUGCUUAGAUAUGAUAUAGAACACCAAUAGCGAAGGCAGCUUACUACGCAGACAUUGACACUGAGGCACGAAAGCGUGGGGAGCAAACAGGAUUAGAAACCCGUGUAGUCC
rnacentral:rRNA from 1 species